rnacentral:tRNA from 1 species
GUGGGGGUUAGGGCUCAGCGGUAGAGCACUCGCCUAGCACGUGUGAGGCCCUGGAUUCAAUCCUCAGCACCACA